UCCCUCCCCUCUCUCUCUCCUUCCAUCCCCCUCCCUCUUCCUCUCUGUUUCUUCAAGAGAACCUGAAGUCAAAAAGUUAUCCUAUGAAGUGUUGGUUCUGCAGUUUUUCAGUUCAAGUCAACAAGAUCUAUUGAGCCGUAGACUAUGACACGGAAGAAGAGCUCACUGGCCCUGUGUCGCAUUAAAAUCACACCUUACCAGAUCACAUUGCAGGACUGUAAGAAGACACCAACCUUUUUUUGAGGUAGAUGCACAAAGUGGUUCAAGUAACAAUGGUGGGGAAGAGUAUGUAGAAGCUGAGACUCUGGAACAUAAAAUAGCAUCUCUUUUUGAUGGUGAUGAAUGUUAAAAUUGGUUGUCAGAUGUACAUGUACACUGUUCUAAAAGCUUACGCUGGACUCGCAUGAUUCCAACUUUAAUGAUACAGUCAUGUGUUUAUUUAAUGUUUGUUGAAAAUAAACAUGGAAAUUGAA